AUUAUGGCUGCUGCGGCGUAAUUGUCGACUCAGCUGAAAUACACGAGCUACCCAUUUCUAAGAAAUAGACGGUUUGACUCGGCGUAAUAACAUAUUUCGCUGAGGACGUCACAUUCUUUAAUAUUAGUGGCGCUUCUAAUGCGACAUCUAGACCCUAAGCUUUAGACCUCAAAUCAGUCAGGACUACCCGCUGAACUUAA
rnacentral:misc_RNA from 1 species